UACGUAGGGGGCAAGCGUUGUCCGGAUUUAUUGGGCGUAAAGAGCGUGUAGGCGGCCAUACAGGUCAGCUGUGAAAACUCGAGGCUCAACCUCGAGACGUCGGUUGAAACCGUAUGGCUAGAGUCCGGAAGAGGAGAGUGGAAUUCCCGGUGUAGCGGUGAAAUGCGCAGAUAUCGGGAAGAACACCCGUGGCGAAGGCGGCUCUCUGGGACGGUACUGACGCUGAGACG
rnacentral:rRNA from 1 species